rnacentral:rRNA from 1 species
UACGAAGGGUGCAAGCGUUAAUCGGAAUUACUGGGCGUAAAGCGUGCGUAGGCGGUUUCUUAAGUCUGCUGUGAAAUCCCCGGGCUCAACCUGGGAAUGGCAGUGGAUACUGGGAGGCUAGAGUGUGUCAGAGGAUGGUGGAAUUCCCGGUGUAGCGGUGAAAUGCGUAGAGAUGCGGAGGAACACCGAUGGCGAAGGCAGCCCCCUGGGCUAACACUGACGCUCAGGCACGAAAGCGUGGGGAGCAAACAGG